rnacentral:rRNA from 1 species
CAGGUUUACCUGUGUGACUGCGUACCUUUUGUAUAAUGGGUCAGCGACUUAUAUUCUGUAGCAAGGUUAACCGUAUAGGGGAGCCGUAGGGAAACCGAGUCUUAACCGGGCGUUAAGUUGCAGGGUAUAGACCCGAAACCCGGUGAUCUAGCCAUGGGCAGGUUGAAGGUUGGGUAACACUAACUGGAGGACCGAACCGACUAAUGUUGAAAAAUUAGCGGAUGACCUGUGGCUGGGGGUGAAAGGCCAAUCAAACCGGGAGAUAGCUGGUUCUCCCCGAAAGCUAUUUAGGUAGCGCCUCGUGAAUUCAUCUCCGGGGGUAGAGCACUGUUUCGGCUAGGGGGCCAUCCCGGCUUACCAACCCGAUGCAAACUGCGAAUACCGGAGAAUGUUAUCACGGGAGACACACGGCGGGUGCUAACGUCCGUCGUGAAGAGGGAAACAACCCAGACCGCCAGCUAAGGUCCCAAAGUCAUGGUUAAGUGGGAAACGAUGUGGGAAGGCCCAGACAGCCAGGAUGUUGGCUUAGAAGCAGCCAUCAUUUAAAGAAAGCGUAAUAGCUCACUGGUCGAGUCGGCCUGCGCGGAAGAUGUAACGGGGCUAAACCAUGCACCGAAGCUGCGGCAGCGACGCUGAUGCGUUGUUGGGUAGGGGAGCGUUCUGUAAGCCUGCGAAGGUGGCCUGUGAGGGUUGCUGGAGGUAUCAGAAGUGCGAAUGCUGACAUAAGUAACGAUAAAGCGGGUGAAAAGCCCGCUCGCCGGAAGACCAAGGGUUCCUGUCCAACGUUAAUCGGGGCAGGGUGAGUCGACCCCUAAGGCGAGGCCGAAAGGCGUAGUCGAUGGGAAACGGGUUAAUAUUCCCGUACUUGGUGUUACUGCGAAGGGGGGACGGAGAAGGCUAUGUUGGCCGGGCGACGGUUGUCCCGGUUUAAGCGUGUAGGUGUGUGUUCCAGGUAAAUCCGGUUCACUUUAACACUGAGGCGUGAUGACGAGGCACUAC